rnacentral:rRNA from 1 species
AACGAACGCUGGCGGCAUGCCUAACACAUGCAAGUCGAACGAGAUCUUCGGGUCUAGUGGCGCACGGGUGCGUAACGCGUGGGAAUCUGCCCUUUGGUUCGGAAUAACAGUUGGAAACGACUACUAAUACCGGAUGAUGACGAAAGUCCAAAGAUUUAUCGCCAGAGGAUGAGCCCGCGUAGGAUUAGCUAGUUGGUGUGGUAAAGGCGCACCAAGGCGACGAUCCUUAGCUGGUCUGAGAGGAUGAUCAGCCACACUGGGACUGAGACACGGCCCAGACUCCUACGGGAGGCAGCAGUGGGGUAUAUUGGACAAUGGGCGAAAGCCUGAUCCAGCAAUGCCGCGUGAGUGAUGAAUGCCUUAGGGUUGUAAAGCUCUUUUACCCGGGAUGAUAAUGACAGUACCGGGAGAAUAAGCUCCGGCUAACUCCGUGCCAGCCGCCGCAGUAA